UCAGAGCGAACGCUGCGGCAGGCCUAACACAUGCAAGUCGAGCGGCCGUAGCAAUACGGCAGCGGCAGACGGGAGAGUAACAACGUGGGAACGCGCCCUCGGUUCGGAAUAACUCAGGGAAACUUGGGCUAAUACCGGAUACGCCCUUACGGGGAAAGAUUUAUUGCCGAAGGAACGGCCCGCGUCCGAUUAGCUUGUUGGUGAGGUAAACGGCUCACCAAGGCGACGAUCGGUAGCUGGUCUGAGAGGAUGACCAGCCUCACUGGGACUGAGACACGGCCCAGACUCCUACGGGAGGCAGCAGUGGGGAAUAUUGGACAAUGGGCGCAAGCCUGAUCCCAGCCAUGCCGCGUGGGUGAUGAAGGCCCUAGGGUUGUAAAGCCCUUCAGCGGGGAAGAUAAUGACGGUACCCGCAGAAGAAGCCCCGGCUAACUUCGUGCCAGCAGCAGC
rnacentral:rRNA from 1 species